GACGAACGCUGGCGGCGUGCUUAACACAUGCAAGUCGAACGGAAAGGCCCUGCUUGCAGGGUGCUCGAGUGGCGAACGGGUGAGUAACACGUGGGUGAUCUGCCCCUUGCUUUGGGUUACGCCUGGGAAACUGGGUCUAAUACUGGAUAGGACCGUGCUGUAGAGGGUGUGGUGGAAAGACUAGUCGCGGUAAGGGAUGAGCUCGUGGCCUAUCCGCUUUUUGGUGGGGUAAUGGCCUACCAAGGCGUCGACGGGUAGCCGGCCUGAGAGGGUGGACGGCCACGUUGGGACUGCGAUAGGGCGCAGACUCCUGCGGGAGUCAGCAGUGGGGCAAAUUCCACAAUGGGCGCAAGCCUGAUGGAGCGACGGCGCGUGGGGGAUGAAGGCCUUCUGGUUGGAAAGUACUUGCAGCCAUGAAGAAGCCCUUGUGGUGACGGUAGUGGUAGAAGAAGCACCGGCUAACUACGUG
rnacentral:rRNA from 1 species